rnacentral:lncRNA from 1 species
CUCAUUUGCAAACUCUCUGAGGAUUUUGAUGCAGUGACAGCUGUCACUGUCAAACCCAGCCUCUAAGCUUUUCAGGAAGCAGCAGUUCUAACAUUUUGAUCAAGUCCUGUACAAAUACUUGAUCUUAAAUGAAUAUAUACAGGUAGAAGAUGUCAUGUUACAUGUAGAAGACUCCUUGGUCUCCUUGUUAGCUUACGGAAUGAAUGAAUUGCCACUCUGGAACAUUGAAAUCGCAUUUAAUCUUCAGAGUUCUAAAGCUACUCAAGCUGGAACCACAAGAUUUCACCAACUGCUGUUUAUUCUCAAGACAUAUUUUUUCACUUCUGUACUCUGGGAGAAGUGUCAGUGCAAACAAAUCAUCAGUGAGUAUCGUUGGUGUAUUUGUGUUUUUAUGAAGCUUCUGCUCAGAUCACCUCCGAUGAAUCAAAAUACCAUCAGCCAUCUGAAUAGCACAUGACAUAGGAGCAGCCAGAAAGUUGUGUA